GAUUUAGUAAGACAGCAAUUCCCACACUGCAGAGUAAUAGUAAAUAGGAAUUUUUAAUUAAAGGUUAGAUAAAAAGAAUACAUACAGACACCUACAAAAACCUGACUGAUGGCAAGAUUUUGUUGUCAAGAAUUCCAUUAAAUUCUGAGAUCAAUUAAAGGGGAAUACAAAAAUCUGUGGUGAUUGCCUGUCAGCCAUCUCAUUUUUCCCAGGGAAGAGAGGAAGGCAGACAGCAACAGAAAAUGCCAACAGUAUCAGCUCAUCUUGUCCUGCUGAUCUGUGGAUUGAUGGGAAACCUUUGGACACAGACUUUAUGGAAGAACACUGAAUUUCUAAAUUGUGAUGGUGAAGGGGGAAGAGAUUCAGGUGCUGAACUGGAAUGGAUUUCACCUGGCAGCUUUCUGGAAGGGAAGGUUCCUGAUGCCACAGGAGGACACCACGUCCUUCUCAGGAAACCUUCCAGGUGUCACCAGCAGGAACUGCACAAUCAUCUGAGCUAGCCCAUGAAAAGGCACCACAAAAAAGCAUUCAUUUGUCAUUUCCCCUUUGACAGUAUUAAGAGUUUGUUCUCAUUUACAAUUCUCUGUCAAGGGAAGCUGAGUACUUGUCCUUUUCCUUGGGCUACAGAAGGGUGAGAAAUGUAUAUGGGAUUUGAGCCAUCCUUUUUGUUUUUUAAAAUCCAGUCCUUGAAUGGGAUUAAAAUAAACCAAGGAGUUUGGUCAUGA